rnacentral:rRNA from 1 species
ACGUAGGGUGCGAGCGUUAAUCGGAAUUACUGGGCGUAAAGCGUGCGCAGGCGGUGAUGUAAGACAGGUGUGAAAUCCCCGGGCUUAACCUGGGAACUGCAUUUGUGACUGCAUCGCUGGAGUGCGGCAGAGGGGGAUGGAAUUCCGCGUGUAGCAGUGAAAUGCGUAGAGAUGUGGAGGAACACCGAUGGCGAAGGCAGCCUCCUGGGCCAGCACCGACGCUCAUGCACGAAAGCGUGGGGAGCAAACAGGA